AGCCCCCAGUCUACUGCCUCUUCUACUGUCAGAGCUUUCUGUUGGAGAAACUACAAAGGACAAGAGUGGUGUCUGAGUUAACCACAGAGUAUCACCAUCAUUUUCAUCAUCAUCAUCUUUCCAUCCACCCCUCCUGCACCUGCCACCCCGACUGCUGGUGAAUCAGGAGGCACUCAGUGCAGCUGACGCCCUCUCACACCUGAUACUGCGCCCAAACACCCUACAACCCCCCCACAACACACACACUCCAACCUGGCAAGGGACCAAUUACACCAACCGGAGGGAAUUAUCCAGAGUCCCGCUCUUGUCUGGAGUGAUAUCUCCAAGGA